rnacentral:rRNA from 1 species
UACAGAGGUCUCAAGCGUUGUUCGGAUUCAUUGGGCGUAAAGGGCGCGUAGGCGGUUGGGUAAGUCUGGUGUGAAAUCUCGGAGCUCAACUCCGAAAUUGCACUGGAUACUGCUCUGCUAGAGGGCUGGAGAGGAGAUCGGAAUUCACGGUGUAGCAGUGAAAUGCGUAGAUAUCGUGAGGAAGACCAGUGGCGAAGGCGGAUCUCUGGACAGCUCCUGACGCUGAGGCGCGAAGGCUAGGGGAGCAAACGGG